rnacentral:rRNA from 1 species
AUACGGAAGGUCCGGGCGUUAUCCGGAUUUAUUGGGUUUAAAGGGAGCGCAGGCGGGGAUGCAAGCGUGACGUCAAAUUUCGGGGCUCAACCCCGUCUCGCGUCGCGAACUGCGUCCCUUGGUUGCGGGAAGGGGAGGCGGAACUCGUGGUGUAGCGGUGAAAUGCAUAGAUAUCACGAAGAACUCCGAUCGCGAAGGCAGCCUUCCGGCCCGUCAACGACGCUCAUGCUCGAAGGUGCGGGUAUCAAACAGGAUUAGAUACCCUGGUAGUCCGCACAGUAAACGAUGGACACCCGCGGUUUGGCCUAUAUGGCUGAGCCGCCAAGCGAAAGCGUUAAGUGUCCCACCUGGGGAGUACGCCGGCAACGGUGAAACUCAAAGGAAUUGACGGGG